rnacentral:lncRNA from 1 species
AUGUCUAGAUGCUUAUGUUGUCAAAUUGUCAAACAGUAUCAUUAUUGAUCAUAUAUUUUUUUAUUAGAGUAUGUCAUUCUAAUCCUUCUUAAAAUAAGGAAACACUAUUUAUGAAACUGGACCCAUAAUUAGACAAUAUUUAUGAAACCAAAUCAAGAAUGAGACACUAUUUCUAAUACUAAACCAAUAAGUGAAAACUAUUUAGGAAACUAGACCAAAAAAGAAACAUUAUUUAUGAAACUAGACCAAGAAAGAGACAUUAUUUAUGAAACUAGACAAAAAAUUAGGCACUAUUUAUGAAACUGGACCAAGAACAAGACCACUAUUUAUGGAAGUGGACGAAGAACUAGGCACUAUUUAUGAAAUUGAAUCAAGAACUAAGCCACUAUUUAUGGAAGUGGAACAAGAUCCAUGCACUAUUUAUGAAAUUGGACUAAUAAGGAGACAUUAUUUAUGAAUUGGACCAAUAAGUAGACAUUGUAUAUGAAAUCCAAUCAAGAAUGAGACACUAUUUCUAAAACUAAAUCAAUAGGUCGAAACUAUUUUUUAAACUAGACUAUGAAAGAAACACUGUUUAUGAAAUUGAACCAACAACUAAGCAUUAUUCAUGAAACUGGACCAAGAACUAGUCAUUGUUUAUGAAACUGGACCAAUAAGUAAACACUAUUUAUUCAGUUUUAGAAUAAUGUGGGUUAUUUUGCUGUAAUUCCAAAAAUAAUGUUUAUUUUGUUCCUUUCCAUGGAUAGUGUAGAUUAUUUUAGUUUAGCUUCCAUAAAUAGUGUGAGCUAUUUUGUUGUAGUUCUAGAAAUAGUAUUAGUUAUUUUGGUUCUGUUUAAAAAAUAGUGUGGGUUAUUUUGUUGUAGUUUCAAAAAUAAUGUGUGUUAUUUUGAUUUUGUUUAAGAAAUAGUAUGGUUUAUUUUUGUUCAGUUUUAGAAAUAGUUUAAUUUAUUUUCCUAUAGUUUCAGAAAUAGUGUGAGUUAGUUUGGUUCAUUUUCAGAAAUAGUAUUGAUUAUUUUGCUGUAGUUCCAGAAAUAGUGUUGAUUAUUUUGGUUCAGUUUGAGAAAUAGUGUGAAUUAUUUUGUUGUAGUUCCAGAAACAAUGUGGGUUAUUUUGGUUCAGUUUCUGAAAUAUUGUGAGUUAUCUUGCUAUAGUUCCAGAAAUAGUGUGAGUAAUCUCGAUUCAGUUGUAGAAGUAGUGUAGUUAUUUCUUCACCUUCCCAACCAUCUUUUCCCUCUUUUUUCACGUCUCUAGUUGUAGACCACAUCACUGCCGCACCGCAUCACCAUAAUCACCGUGACAAACCAAAAUCAAACCAGCACCAAAACUUGGAUCCCACCAUCUUCUCAUGCUUCAUCUUUGUCAUCUUCUUGUUGUCUUGGAUUCGCCAUCAUCUCC